CAACAAACGCUGUACGUAAUAUCUAUCCUUCAAUCAGAAAGUCUAAAUCGCGAAAAUCUCCCGCUUCGUGAAUCUCGCCACAUGAUGACUAUCGAUCGUUGAAGGUUUAGUGCAUGCUGCAUGUCAACUUUGGGAAGCUCUUCGAGAAGAUCACUUCAAAGCAUUGGCGUUCUAUUGAGUGUUUUGCAAGAUGAUAUUCUCAAGGAUUAAUGAAGCACAAAACGCGAGUAAAAGGAACGAAAGAGUUGAAUAAAGAGAAGAACUUUAUUAUUGCUCGUGUUACAUCGUUUCCACUAUAUCUUGAUUCGCAUGAAAUGAAAAGGUAAUGAAUAAAUAUAAUAAAAGAAACACCAAACACUUGUGUAUUCUGACUUCUGUAAUGCUGGUAUAGCUAUGAAGCUAGUGACCGGGGCCUCUCGGACUUGGCCCGGAAGGCAGGCGCUCGAGCCAGCAAGCCAUGGUGUAUCUCGCCUUCUCAUAGGCCGCCGAGGAGUAUGUUGCCAGGUUGUUCGCCCUUGCGAAAUCGUCCGGCAAAGCCCGGGCUGCCUCUACCCCAAAAUGGCUUGCGACGGUUGCGAGAACCAGCAGAACAAUGACGAGCUUGCAGAGACCCAUCUGUUCUUUUCCUUCUCAAACGGGAAACGAAAUAUUUUAAUUUGGUUGGAGACUUUGGGUUUGGUUUUCUGGGGUGCUUGCUGUGUUGGAGAAAGCUUGGGACGUGGUGCGAUUUUUAU
rnacentral:lncRNA from 1 species